rnacentral:rRNA from 1 species
UACGGAGGGUGCAAGCGUUAAUCGGAAUUACUGGGCGUAAAGCGUGCGCAGGCGGUUUGUUAAGGCUGCUGUGAAAUCCCCGAGCUCAACUUGGGAAUUGCAGUGGAUACUGGCAGGCUGGAGUAUGGUAGAGGAAGGUGGAAUUCCCGGUGUAGCAGUGAAAUGCGUAGAGAUCGGGAGGAACACCAGUGGCGAAGGCGGCCUUCUGGACCAAUACUGACGCUCAUGCACGAAAGCGUGGGGAGCAAACAGG